CAUUGAAACACUUGUUCCCGUACGAUCACCGAACAUAAGCAGCGUCGAGCCUGGUCAGAACCUAGAUAGGUGACCACUUGGGAAUACCAGGUACUGUAAG